GACGAACGCUGGCGGCGUGCUUAACACAUGCAAGUCGAACGAAGUGGCGAACGGGUGAGAAAUACGUGGGUAACAUGCCCUCCUUUAUGGGAUAAGCCAUGGAAACGGGGUCUAAUACCGAAUAAAGGGGGAUGGGCUCGCGGCAUAUCGGCGUGUUGGUGGGGUGAGGGCCUACCAAGGCGGGGACGGGUAGCAGGCCUGAGAGGGUGACCGGCCACUGUGGGACGGGGAAACUGCCCAGGCUCCUACGGGAGGGAGCAGUGGGGGAUAUUGCACAAUGGGCGAUAGCCUCAUGCAGCGACUCCGCAGGGGUGCUGAAGGUUUUCGGGUUCUAAACCUGUUUCGGUAUCGAACGGGUAGGUGGAGAAGAAGCGCCGGCUAACUACGUGCCAGCAGCCGCGGUAAUAC
rnacentral:rRNA from 1 species